rnacentral:lncRNA from 1 species
UUUACAACUACAUUAAUAAAGUGAAGAUUGACCAGAGAUUUAGGCCAUUGACUCUUUGACCAAGGGUAAUUGACCUGCUUGCUCGUGGGCUUGUAAAGGAGCCUAUCACAUGACACGUACGAGCCCAUGACAUGACACGUAAGUUCAUGUUGAGAUUUUAAAAUGGGCCCACAAAAUCUGAUUGUAGAUAAACAAACAUGAUCCACGGCCCAUCACAUGCAUAGCUCUCUCUUUAUUGUCUUUACAAAUAUUAACUUUUCUUUUGUUUCCCAUGAGUUGACUAUAAAUCCAUUACAUUUCCUUCAUUCAUUUUCUGGAAAAUGGAUCCAAUAUAAGAUCCAAAUUAUACAAUAAGAUUGAUGCUUUUGGUUUUUAAUAGUCACAUUUUCAAUGGCAUGCACCAAAUACAUAAGAACACAAAUUUAGGGCACUUUUGGUAUCGAAUUAAAAACUCGUUAUAGAAAUGUUUUCUAAAAAACAUUUGCUUUUUCAAAAGUAUUAUGCGGUGAAUAUGUUAACGGGUCUUUUAAAGUUAAGAAGGGUUUUCUUUCUACGAUGGUAAUACGUGGCAGCUAGGUAGGGGUGUUGUCUAAAGUUUUAAAAGGAGGUCUAAUAAAAUUUGAGACAUAAAUUUAGUUAAAAUCAAUUUAAAGCUAAGCUUUGUGAGGUCACAUC